UACGUAGGGUGCAAGCGUUGUCCGGAAUUAUUGGGCGUAAAGGGCUCGUAGGCGGUCCAUCACGUCGGGAGUGAAAAGCUGGGGCUUAACCCCAGUCCUGCUUCCGAUACGGGUGGACUAGAGGUAGGCAGGGGAGAACGGAAUUCCUGGUGUAGCGGUGAAGUGCGCAGAUAUCAGGAGGAACACCGGUGGCGAAGGCGGGUCUCUGGGCAACAACUGACGCUGAGGAGCGAAAGCGUGGGGAGCGAACAGG
rnacentral:rRNA from 1 species